UACGGAGGGAGCUAGCGUUGUUCGGAAUUACUGGGCGUAAAGCGCACGUAGGCGGCUUUGUAAGUUAGAGGUGAAAGCCCGGGGCCCAACUCCGGAACUGCCUUUAAGACUGCAUCGCUUGAAUCCGGGAGAGGUGAGUGGAAUUCCGAGUGUAGAGGUGAAAUUCGUAGAUAUUCGGAAGAACACCAGUGGCGAAGGCGGCUCACUGGACCGGUAUUGACGCUGAGGUGCGAAAGCGUGGGGAGCAAACAGG
rnacentral:rRNA from 1 species